AGUGAACGCUGGCGGUAGGCCUAACACAUGCAAGUCGAACGGCAGCACAGUAAGAGCUUGCUCUUACGGGUGGCGAGUGGCGGACGGGUGAGGAAUACAUCGGAAUCUACUUUUUCGUGGGGGAUAACGUAGGGAAACUUACGCUAAUACCGCAUACGACCUACGGGUGAAAGCAGGGGAUCUUCGGACCUUGCGCGAUUGAAUGAGCCGAUGUCGGAUUAGCUAGUUGGCGGGGUAAAGGCCCACCAAGGCGACGAUCCGUAGCUGGUCUGAGAGGAUGAUCAGCCACACUGGAACUGAGACACGGUCCAGACUCCUACGGGAGGCAGCAGUGGGGAAUAUUGGACAAUGGGCGCAAGCCUGAUCCAGCCAUACCGCGUGGGCGAAGAAGGCCUUCGGGUUGUAAAGCCCUUUUGUUGGGAAAGAAGAGCAGCAGGUUAAUACCCCGCUGUUCUGACGGUACCCAAAGAAUAAGCACCGGCUAACUUCGUG
rnacentral:rRNA from 1 species